UGGUUGAUCCUGCCAGAGGUUACUGCUAUCGAGGUUCGACUAAGCCAUGCGAGUCGAAUGUAGCAAUACAUGGCGUACUGCUCAGUAACACGUGGACAACCUGCCCUUGAGACGGGGAUAAACCCGGGAAACUGGGUAUAAUACCCGAUAGAUCUCGAUUGCUGGAAUGCAUCGAGCUUGAAAGCUCCGGCGCUCAAGGAUGGGUCUGCGGCCUAUCAGGUAGUAGUGGGUGUAGCGUACCUACUAGCCUACGACGGGUACGGGUUGUGAGAGCAAGAGCCCGGAGAUGGAUUCUGAGACACGAAUCCAGGCCCUACGGGGUGCAGCAGGCGCGAAAACUUUACAAUGCUGGAAACAGCGAUAAGGGGACCUCGAGUGCCAGGUUACAAAUCUGGCUGUCGUGAUGCCUAAAAAGCAUUGCAUAGCAAGGGCCGGGCAAGACCGGUGCCAGCCGCCGCGGUAACACCGGCGGCUCGAGUGGUAACCGUUAUUAUUGGGUCUAAAGGGUCCGUAGCCGGUUUGGUCAGUCCUCCGGGAAAUCUGAUAGCUCAACUAUUAGGCUUUCGGGGGAUACUGCCAGGCUUGGGACCGGGAGAGGUAAGAGGUACUACAGGGGGUAGGAGUGAAAUCUUGUAAUCCCUGUGGGACCACCUGUGGCGAAGGCGUCUUACCAGAACGGGUUCGACGGUGAGGGACGAAAGCUGGGGGCACGAACCGGAUUAGAUACCCCGGGUAGUCCCAGCCUGUAAACGAUGCUCGCUAGGGUGUCAGGCAUGGCGCGACCGUGUCUGGGUGCCGCAGGGAAGCCGUGAAGCGAGCCACCCUGGGAAGUACGGCCGCAAGGCUGAAACUUAAAGGAAUUGGCGGG
rnacentral:rRNA from 1 species